UUUUAAGUCUUUAGGUUAAACAACUGCAUGCUGAAAUAAGAAUAUGUAAAUACAAAAUUACAAUUACAUCGAUAAACAAGAUGAAAGGGUUUUUAAUAUCGCUUAUUCUAAUUUUAUUAGAAGUGUCAAAUGUUUUGAGUUAUUUUCCUUACGGAUUUACAGUUCACAUAAGUUCUACCAACACUGCCACCAGCGAAAAUGAUGAAAACUCGUACACAGUUCGUCAAUUCUUUAAAAGGAAUUAUAGGACUUAAAUGUAAAUCCAAAACUUACUUAUUUUAACAGUUAUUUUCUAUACAAAUAGUUUUGUAACUAUUUUUAGUUAAGUAUAUAUCUAACCAUCUUUAUAGCUUCUAUCAAAUUGUGUGAAACUUUGUUGUCCUUUGCUAACUACCUUAUUAAGUAAAAUAUAAAAAACCAAAACGAAAAACUGUACCCACAAAAAUAUUAUGAGGUAUUAAUAUGAAAAAAAUGUCUAUAUUGCAAUUUUUUUAACAUUCCCAACAAAGAAGUAAUACU